rnacentral:sRNA from 1 species
ACAAAAAGAUAGUACCAUGAGUACCAAGGACCUGAACAACUGGAAGCCUCAUAUAAUGCUGAGGGCGAUUAUUUAUCAUUUCUACUAAAGCAGGAUCUC